AGAAGGGACUGGAGCCGGGGCCGGGAACGAGCCCUGGGACGGGAGCGGGCUUGGGAACAGCGCAAUCUCGGCUCAUUUUCUCUAAGCUAUACAAGUUCACGGACGAGCUAUCUAGCCAACGCGCCUCUCCCGUCAUGGACCUCCCAGGCUGCUGCGUGCCGCCCGCCCUCUGAGAAGGCUCCUUCGCCCCGCGCAGAGGAGGAGGCGGAGGAGGAGGAGGAGAAGGGGAGGAAGGCGCGGCCGCAGCCGCCGCUGCCCAGCCGCCGUCCCGCA